UACGUAGGGGGCAAGCGUUGUCCGGAAUCAUUGGGCGUAAAGCGCGUGUAGGCGGCUUGGUAAGUCUGCUCUGAAAGCCCGGGGCUCAACCCCGGGAGGCGGGUGGAUACUGUCAAGCUCGAGUCCGGAAGAGGAGCGUGGAAUUCCUGGUGUAGCGGUGAAAUGCGCAGAUAUCAGGAGGAACACCAAUGGCGAAGGCAGCACUCUGGGACGUGACUGACGCUGAGACGCGAAAGCGUGGGGAGCAAACAGG
rnacentral:rRNA from 1 species